AGUAACACGUAGGUGAUCUAUCAUUGGGUCUGGGAUAGCCUGUGGAAACACAGGGUAAUACCGGAUACGACCUUUAGAUUGAGGUCUAGAGGGGAAAGUCGCUUAGGCGACGCCCUAUGCUGAGCCUGCGGCUGAUUAGCUAGUUGGUAGGGUAACGGCCUACCAAGGCGACGAUGAGUAGCCGGCCUGAGAGGGUGAUCGGCCACACUGGGACUGAGACACGGCCCAG
rnacentral:rRNA from 1 species